GCGUCUGUAACUCAGUUGGUUAGAGUAUCAUUUUGACACAAUGAAAGUCGAUGGUUCAAUUCCAUCCAGACGCA
rnacentral:tRNA from 2 species